rnacentral:rRNA from 1 species
CCUACGGGUGGCAGCAGUGAGGAAUAUUGGUCAAUGGGCGAGAGCCUGAACCAGCCAAGUCGCGUGAAGGAUGACGGCCCUACGGGUUGUAAACUUCUUUUGUCAGGGAGCAAUUGAGUCCACGUGUGGUCUUAGCGAGAGUACCUGAAGAAAAAGCAUCGGCUAACUCCGUGCCAGCAGCCGCGGUAAUACGGGGGAUGCGAGCGUUAUCCGGAUUUAUUGGGUUUACAGGGUGCGUAGGCGGAAUAUCAAGUCAGCGGGAAAUAUUCGGGGUUCAACCCCGUCGUGCCGUUGAAACUGAUGUUCUUGAGUGGGCGAGAAGAAUGCGGAAUGCGUGGUGUAGCGGUGAAAUGCAUAGAUAUCACGCAGAACUCCGGUUGCGAAGGCAGCAUGCUGGCGUCCAACUGACGCUGAAGCGCGAAAGCGUGGGGAUCGAACAGGAUUAGAUACCCGGGUAGUC